GAAGCAGCCAUGUGGUUAUCUACAGUCCAAUAUUCCAGCACAAGGGACAGAGGGGGAACAUACUUGGUGUGUGUGAGUAACAUGGAGGAAGCAUGGCUAAGUGGCAUGAACAAGAAGGUAUGGUAGGUGCAGAGGGUGUAGGUGCAGCAGGUGGUAGGUGCACAGGGUGUAGGUGCAGUGGAUGUAGGUUCAGUGGAUGUAGGUGCAGACAGUGGUAGGUGCAGACAGUGGUAGGUGCAGAGCGUGUAGAUGCAGUGGAUGUAGGUACAGAGGGUGUAGGUGCAGUGGAUGUAGGUGCAGUGGAUGUGGGUGCAGAGGGUGUAGGUGCAGUGGAUGUGGGUGCAGAGGGUAUAGGCGCAGCAAGUGGUAAGUACAGAAGGUGUAGGUGGAGUGGAUGUGGGUGCAGAGGAUGUAGGUGCAGAGGGUGUAGGUGCAGUGGAUGUAGAUGCAGAUGGUGUAGGUGCAGAGGAUGUAGGCACACAAGGUGUAGGUGCAGUAGAUAUAGGUGCAGAGGGUGUAGGUGCAGUGGAUGUAGGUGCAGAUGGUGUAGGUGCAGAGGGUGUAGGUGCAGUGGAUCUAGGUGCAGAUUGUGUAGGUGCAGAGGGUAUAGGUGCAGUGGAUGUAGGUGCAGAUGGUGUAGGUGCAGAGGAUGCAGGUGCAGAAGGUGUAGGUGCAGUGGAUAUAGGUGCAGAUGGUGUAGGUGUAGAUGGUGUAGGUGUAUGGAUGUAGGUGCAGAGGGUGUAGGUGCUGUGGAUGUAGGUGCAGAGGGUGUAGGUACAGUGGAUGUAGAUGCAGAAGGUGUAGGUGCAGAGGGUGUAGGUGCAGUGAAUGUAGGUGCAGAGGGUGUAGAUGCAGUGGAUGUAGGUGCAGAGGAUGUAAGUGCAGCAAGUGGUAAGUGCAGAAGGUGUAGGUGCAGUGAAUGUAGGUGCAGAGGGUGUAGGUGCAGUGGAUGUAGGUGCAGAGGGUGUAAAUGCAGCAAGUGGUAAGUGCAGAAGGUGUAAGUUCAGUGGAUGUAGGUGCAGAAGGUAUAGGUGCAACAGGUUGUAGGUGCAGUGGAUGGCAGUACAGAGGGUGUAGGUGCAGUGGGGACCCAAUCAUUCAGCACCUCUAUAGAAGUAAUGGGAUGGGAUACAUUUUGAAGAUAGAGCAGACAGUAUUUGCUGACUAGAUAUGGAAUUUGGCAGGGGUAGGGGGAGAAGGCAGAGUCCAGAGUGACACCAAAGGUCUCUGGCCAGCACUGGAAAGACACAGAUGCCAUUAUCUGAAAUGGUAAAGAUUUUGGAAGGAGCAAAUCUGAGCUAACCUCAGGAGUUUAGCUGGGGGCAUAUUUAGCUUGAGGUGACCAUCAGAUUUCCAACUGGAGAAGUCUAAUAUUCUGUGCACAUACAAGCAAACAGCCACAUCAAUAUGCACCUAGAGUUUUGGUAACAGGUUUUGGCUGAGAAGAAAAUUUGAGCAUCAUCAACAUAUACAGGUGUUUGAGGCCACAAAACAAGAGGAGAUCAACUAAGAAGUUAAGACAGUUGACAGAAGCAGACACAGCAGAGAGAAGAGGUCCUACAGAUAAGACUCAGCAGGAACAAUCAGCAAGUAGAAGUAUCAUGGGGUGUCCACAGCCAAAGUGAUCAACCAUGUCAAAUAAUAGUGGACCACUGAAUUCAGCAAUGUGGGAGCCACUGGUGAACUUCGGAAGAACUGUUUAGUGGCAUGAUGAGGAUACAUCAAGAGCAAUGGGUUCAAGAGAAAAUGGAAGGAGAGGAGGCAAAGACAAUGAAAAUAAAUGCCGUCAAGAGUUUCACUAUAAUAGGGAGCCAAAAAAAUAGAGUGCCUUGAGGUGGGCACGAAUCAGGAGAGUUGGUUUUGUUUUUUCAAGAUGGGAUAUACUCUAACGUAUCUGUAUGCUGUGGUGGACAAUGAACUGAGAGAGGAAAAGUUGUUAACACAGAAGAAAGACAAUUGCAGAAAAAUUCUGUCCCCUAGCCCCUUUUAUUACACAGCAGGUAGUGAAUACACACAGUGUUCUGAGCUUAGCUUUCUGUACUAAACAUGGAAAUUAAUCUACUUCAUUCUAGGUAGAUCUGCCUCGUACUUUUUUAAUUUUUAAAAAAUUAUAUUAAUUUUUUUUUUUUUUUUUUGGUAGAGAUAGGGUCUCACUAUGUUGCAUGUUGCCCAGGCUGGUCUGAAAAUUCCAGACUCAAGCGAACCUCCUGCCUCAAGCCUCCCAAAGUGCUUGGAUUGGCCAGGCAUGGUGGGUUACUCCUGUAAUCCCAGCACUUUGGGAGGUCAAGCCCGGUGGAUCACCUGAGGUCAGGAGAUCAAGACCAGCCUGGCCAACACGGUGAAACUCUGUCUCUACUAAAAAUACAAAAAUUAGCCAGUGUGGUGGCGGGCGCCUGUAAUCCCAGCUACUCAGGAGGCUGAGGCGGGAGAAUCACUUGAACCUGGGAGGUAUAGGUUGCAGUCAGCCGAGAUCACACCACUGCACUCCAGCCUGGGUGACAGAGUGAGACUCCAUCUCAAAAAAAAAAAAAAAACACAAAGUGCUGGGGUUACAGGCAUGAGCUACCAUGCCCAGCUGCCGUAUAUAUUUCACAGUGUUCCAUUCUGUGAAAGUACCAUAGGCAGUAAGCCAGAUAUCUAUGUUUAGCUUCCCAAGUUAGCGUUUAAGGAAAGUUGCUAAAUUAGUGGCUGAGUGACACUUAAAAAGUUUUUCAAUGAUGAAAAAUUUCAAACAUAUGCAAAAAAGAGAAUAGUACAAUGAGCCUCCAUGUACCCAUGAUUCAGAUUCAACUAUUGCCACACCUGUUUAACCUAGCCUCCUAUUUUUUCUUUUUUGCUCAACUAUUUUAAGGUGAAUCCCAGACAUCACGCAAUUCCAUUUCUGAAUAUUCUGAAUACUUCACUAAGCAUCUUUAAAAAUACGGACAUUUUCUUAUGUAUUUCACCACCAUACUUAAAAAUUAGACUGAGUUCAGAUGUGGGGACCUCACAUCUGUAAUCCCAACACUUUGGGAGACUGAGGCAGGAGGAUCCAAUGAGCCCAGAGUUCAAGACCAGCCUGGACAACAUGGAGAAACCUCCCACCCCCGUCUCUACAAAAGAUACCAAAAUUAGCCAGGCAUGGUGGCACGUGCCUGUAGUCCCAGCUACUUGGGAGGCUGAGGUGGGAGGUUCACUUGAGCCCAGGAGUCUGAGGCUGCAGUGAGCCGAGAUCUAGCCACUGCACUCCAGGCUGGGUGACAGACAGACUCUGUCUCAAAAAACAAACAAACAAACAAACAAACAAACAAACAAAGUAAACUAAGACUAAGCCCCUUGGUUUCAUCUAAUAUUCCUAAUACUUUCAUAUUCAAAUUAUCUCCAAAAAGAUUUUUUUAAUUGGUUUGUUUUAUUCAGACUCUGAAUAUUAUUCAGAAGUUGUUCUUUUAAUGUAGAGCAGGUUCCUUCCUCCUCAACUUUUUAUUUCAUGCCGCAGGCAGGGACUGUUUUUUAAUUGUUCUAUUUCCUCCAAGGCAGGUAUCAGCUUUUGAUUACAUAACUAUACGUCUAAAUAUAUCUUUAUGUUGUCUUCACAGUUGAUUGACACUUUGGUUGAAUAUGUACUUCUAGGUUGAAAAACAAUUUCUGGCAGGAGGCAGGGGACACUGAACUAUUAAAAAGGAAGACCCAAGGCCAGGCACAGUGGCUCACGCCUACAAGUCCAGCACUUUGGGAGGCCAAGGGGGUGGAUCACUUGAGGUCAGGAGUUUGAGACGAGGCUGGCCAACAUGGUGAAACCCCGUCUCUGCUAAAAAUACAAAAAUUAGCUGGGCAUGAUGGCCUGUAGUCCCAGCUACUAGGGAAGCUGAAGCAGGAGAAUCGCUUCAGCCUGGGAGGUGGAGGUUGCAGUGAGCGAGAUCAUGCCACUCCACUCCAGCCUGAGUGACAGAGGAAGAUUCCAUCUCAAAAAAAAAAAAAAAAGAAAGAAAGAAAAAGAAAGAAACAAAAACAAUUUCCCUCAGAAUUCUGAAAGUACUGCUCCAUUUUCGCAUCCAGGAAUGCUAUUGGAUAGCCUGGUGCUUUUCGAAUUGCUCAACAUUUGUAUAUUAUUUUUUUACAUUUCUGGAAGCUUUAGAAUCCUCUUUUAUCCUUGGUAAUCUGAAAUUUCAUGAUGGUGUGGGCAUUUUGCAUUAACUAUGUCAGACACCUUUUAAUCCAGAUACCAACGUCCUUCAGUCUGAAGUCUUUCCUGUAUUGUUUCUUUUUUCUUUCCGAGACAGGUUCUCACUCUGUCACUCAUGCUGGAAUGCAGUGGUGCAAUCACAGCUCACUGCAGUCUUGACCUCCAGGGCUCAAGCAAUCCUCCUGCCUCAGCCUCCCGAGUAGCUAAGACUACAGGAGUGUGCCAUCAUGCCUGCAUAAUCUAAAAAAAAUUUUUGUAGAGGUGGCAUCCCACUAUGUUGCUCAGGCUGGUCUUGAACUUCUUGGCCCUACUAGCAUUAUAGGCAUGAACUACUGCACCCAGCCUGUAUUACUUCUUUUUCUUUUUCUUUUUUUUUUGAGAUGGAGCCUCGCUGUGUCGCCCAGGCUAGAGUGCAGUGGCACAAUCUCGGCUCACUGCAACCUCCACCUCCCAGGUUCAAGGAAUUCUCCUGCCUCAGCCUCCCGAGUAGCUGGGACUACAGGUGCCUGCCACCAUGCCCGGCUAAUUUUUUUUUUAUUUUUAGUAGAGACGGGGUUUCACCAUCUUGGCCAGGCUGGUCUCGAACUCCUGACCUUGUGAUCCACCCACCUCGGCCUCCCAAAGUGCUGGGAUUACAGGCAUGAGCCACCACGCCCGGUCGUACUUUUUUUUUUUGAGAUGGAGUCUUGCCCUGUUGCCCAGGCUGGAGUGCAAUAGCGCGAUCUCAGCUCCGCCUUGGUGGAGCCUACCAGGUUCAAAUGAUUCUCCUGCCUCAGCCUCCCUAGUAGCUGGGCUUUACAGGUGCCCACCACCAUGCCCAGCUAAUUUUUGUAUUUUUAGUAGGGACAAGGUUUCACCACGUUGGCCAGGCUGGUCUCGAACUGCUGACCUCAUGAUCUGCCCACCUCAGCCUCCCAAAGUGUUGGGAUUACAGGUGUGAGCCACUGCACCCAGACCUCCGCCUGUAUUAUUUCUUGAUCAUGUCAUCCUCUUUAUUUUCUGUUCUCUUUUUGGAACUCCUAUUAGCAAGAUUUUAGAUGGAUGGCUCCACCACAUCUUUUAUCUUUUCUCUCAUAUUUACUGUUCUUUAUCUACUUGUCCUUUCUGAAAUAUUUCUUAACUCUUUCGAUAAUCAUAGUUUUAAUUUUCUCUUUCCCUGAUAAUUCCUUUUUGAGGCAUCCUGUCCUGUUUUAUAAUAUGAAUGCAAUAUCUUCACAUAUCUCACAGAGCAGUUGGUGCUUAUGUGAAGUUUUACUCUAUUUCUUCAGCUAGCUGUUUUUUUUUUUAAGGAAAAUUUGUAUUAUUUUCAUUAUUUUUAUGUACAGAAAACUCAAC
rnacentral:lncRNA from 1 species